UACAGAGGGGGCAAGCGUUGUUCGGAAUUACUGGGCGUAAAGCGCACGUAGGCGGAUAUUUAAGUCAGGGGUGAAAUCCCAGAGCUCAACUCUGGAACUGCCUUUGAUACUGGGUAUCUUGAGUAUGGAAGAGGUAAGUGGAAUUGCGAGUGUAGAGGUGAAAUUCGUAGAUAUUCGCAGGAACACCAGUGGCGAAGGCGGCUUACUGGUCCAUAACUGACGCUGAGGUGCGAAAGCGUGGGGAGCAAACAGG
rnacentral:rRNA from 1 species